rnacentral:tRNA from 1 species
GGGGCCUUAGCUCAGCUGGGAGAGCACCUGCCUUACAAGCAGGGGGUCGGCGGUUCGAUCCCGCUAGGCUCCA